GUAUCACAUUGACUUUAGCAUUAUAUGCUUUUCUGCACUAAGAAUCUCUUCACUUUACAGUAAAGCUACUGGAAAUGAACAAUUAAUUUGCUUUCUUACUGUAAUAAUCUAUUCUAGGAAUUGCAGGCUAGGUGCUUCAGUGGAAUGAACAUUGUUCUUGUUUGAUGUUAGGCUUAGAGAGUAUGACUGAGAUGAUAUGUGUUCUUAUCUCAAACUUUCUAGGAAUCUUAGGAGCUGCAACUUGAGGGGAAAGGUUCUUGAUCUAACUAGGAUUCACAACCUUCUUUUCCUGUAACUCUCACAUGAUGAUUCUUCAUCAAUAUUUGAAGUCGGAAUUAAGAUACUUGCAGAAUAUUUAGCAGGUUUUUCUCUUUAAAGAAUGUGAUCAUCUCAUCAGAAAAGUCGAUUUUUUUGAUUAAUCUGCUGGGCAAGUUUUUCUUUUGAAAGAAUGUGAGCAUCUGUAAAGUUAACUGUUUCUUGUGGUUAUAGGACGGAGCUGCAUGUGUAGUUGUUACCAACAUUAUGGGCAAUGGGUUCAGAAAUUGAAGUACUUGAGUAGAGAUUGAGUUUGUUUUUGGGUGAGCUGCAGAAAGAAUUUGAAAUUUUUGAUAGAAUUGUCUACAAAAAUAAGAAUCAGCAUCAAAGGUGCUCUUAUUGUCAGUAUCUGCUCAAGGUGAGAAGGGAUUUGAGGCUUCUGCAAUCAGCAAAUUUGGGGGAAAUCUUGAACUCCUGCUUUGUUGCAAUCCAUAGAAAAAGACCUAAACAAAAACUGCAGCCUUUGGAAAGUUUGAAGAGGAGAAUGUCUGAUGUUGGUAAAUAUAGCUUUUUGGAACGGCUUCUUGGAGUUGCACGUCUACUAUCGCAGAUAAUGACACUGACGCUGCAAAUCCUGAAUCUGCUCCAGAAGGUCCUGAUGGCAAUUAAGGUCAAGACAUUGGUUCUUUGGCUGAUCCUGUUUCACAAGGUGAGUAUAUAAGAGACGGUUCUUCCAUUGCAGGACCUACUGCAAAGAGUAGCAUGACUGUGGAAGAUGGCCUACUUACAACUUCAAAGCUUAUCUCCGCAUUUGAGUCCUUUUAACACACAAGGCCGGGGAGAAAAAGGUUGCCCUCUUAGCGGUGAGAAUGAUUCUGGUGUCAAACUAACAGACAAAAUGGGAUGCAUUUUUCAGUCUGCUUAUUGGUGACAAUAAGAAGAGCAGUAGUGUCUCUUAGGAGCAUAUUCAGACCAAAAAGCCAGUCAUAUUGGGCUUUUU